UACGUAGGGUGCAAGCGUUAAUCGGAAUUACUGGGCGUAAAGCGUGCGCAGGCGGUUUUGUAAGUCUGUCGUGAAAGCCCCGGGCUCAACCUGGGAAUUGCGAUGGAGACUGCAAGGCUUGAAUCUGGCAGAGGGGGGUAGAAUUCCACGUGUAGCAGUGAAUGCGUAGAGAUGUGGAGGAACACCGAUGGCGAAGGCAGCCUCCUGGGCCAGCACUGACGCUCAUGCACGAAAGCGUGGGGAGCAAACAGG
rnacentral:rRNA from 1 species